GGAAUAUUGGUCAAUGGACGAAAGUCUGAACCAGCCAUGCCGCGUGAAGGAUUAAGGCCCUCUGGGUUGUAAACUUCUUUUAUCUGGGACGAAAAAAGGGUAUUCUUACUCUCUUGACGGUACCAGAGGAAUAAGCACCGGCUAACUCCGUGCCAGCAGCCGCGGUAAUACGGAGGGUGCAAGCGUUAUCCGGAUUUACUGGGUUUAAAGGGUGCGUAGGUGGAUUUGUAAGUCAGUGGUGAAAUCUCCGAGCUUAACUCGGAAACUGCCCUUGAUACUAUAAGUCUUGAAUCAUCUGGAGGUAAGCGGAAUAUGUCAUGUAGCGGUGAAAUGCUUAGAUAUGACAUAGAACACCAAUUGCGAAGGCAGCUUACUACCGAUGUAUUGACACUGAGGCACGAAAGCGUGGGGAUCAAACAGGAUUAGAUACCCGAG
rnacentral:rRNA from 1 species